rnacentral:rRNA from 1 species
UACGGAGGGUGCGAGCGUUGUCCGGAAUCAUUGGGCGUAAAGGGCGCGUAGGUGGCCCGGUCAGUUCGUGGUGAAAGCGCGGGGCUCAACCCUGCGUCGGCCAUGAAUACUGCCGCGGCUGGAGCACUGUAGAGGCAGGCGGAAUUCCGGGUGUAGCGGUGGAAUGCGCAGAUAUCAGGAGGAACACCGGUGGCGAAGGCGGUUCUCUGGGCAUUACCUGACGCUGAGGAGCGAAAGUGUGGGGAGCGAACAGG